UCUGCGCUUAUGAUAAUUGUGAUCGUACGGUGGAGGAUGAUUGAUAAGGGUAUGCAUUUACUGCUCUUCCCGGACGGAGAUAUAAUGAUGUCAUCAUUCCGGCCCGCGUCGUGGAGACUGCCGAAUGAGUGAAACUCCAUUUUGUGAGGGGUUUGCUGCUGGUGGUGAUGAAAUGCCAUUUUUGCGAGUUGAGUUGUGAGAAAAGAGAGAGAAAAGCUUAAAGUUGUUGGCUUUUCAGUACAACCACUUCACUCAAAUUCAACUGCUCAUUGUUUAUAUGAAGAGGUCCUCAUUUGAUGCGGGAUAAGGUUAUGACAAGGUGAAGGAGAUGAGCAAUGCAAGCCCGAGUCUCUGACGGAGGUGGAAGCUUUUUCAGAUGUUGUCUUCUAUAAAUCUGUCUCCCCUUGCAAUUCUGGCGGUCGAGUUUGGACCAGAUCCAUCAAGCUUCUUAUUUCCUCAUCCCCGCUACCGUAUGAUGGUUAUUGAAGGUAAGCUCAAAACGCCCAAAUUAACAGUCGAGCAGAGGCCAGAGAAACUUGUAACGCCAAACGACUCAUUCGGGGACUGACUUGGCAGCGGAGACGAAGCCUGAGCUGCAACCAUUGUCGACGACUCUGCUUGCUACAAACCGUUUUAUGUGCGAAUAUCUGUAACCAGUGAAUUCCUCAAGACACCUAACAAGAAAUACAGCCCAGGCCCAAUCUCUCUCUCCCUCG
rnacentral:lncRNA from 1 species